rnacentral:rRNA from 1 species
UACGAAGGGGGCUAGCGUUGCUCGGAAUUACUGGGCGUAAAGGGCGCGUAGGCGGAUGUUUAAGUCGGGGGUGAAAGCCCGGGGCUCAACCUCGGAUCGGCCGUGGCGACUCGUGGGCUGGAGCACUGUAGAGGCGGGUGGAAUUCCGGGUGUAGCGGUGGAAUGCGUAGAGAUCCGGAAGAACACCAGUGGCGAAGGCGGCCCGCUGGGCAGUGGCUGACGCUGAAGCGCGACAGCGUGGGGAGCAAACAGG